rnacentral:lncRNA from 1 species
GGCCGUGAGAAGCUCAAGUUCACCAUGAGCCACGCAGUAAGCCAUGCUUUAGCCUCUGACCUGUGCUCCAAUUUUGGUACAAUGAUUUCUGCCAUGUUCUCCAACAGGGUGAGGAAACAGACAGCACUAAGAGAAAAAGCUGGAACUCAAAACCAAAUUAACUCCAAACUUAAGUUUUCCCACUUCGACAAGGAACUGCAUGUGUUUUUCUGCCUCUUGCAGAUGUAUGUCAUAAAAGUUGGAUGCCUUCCUUUUAAGACAUUUGAAUGGAUCACCAAAUAAUUACCUACUUUUCUCUCACAACUCAGAUAAAUAAUUAAAAGGAGAUAUACACAGAU